rnacentral:misc_RNA from 1 species
UCUACAUAAAUUUCCAUAGGCUGGAAGAAUCAAACAUCGUAAUUAUUUUUUUUUUUUAAAGAAAAGAACCAGCAAUCAGUAGGAUAGCAUUAGCCAAAAGCCAAUACACAUACACAUUGUAAUUUGGAUGCUCAGCAUAAAGAAACAUAAAACCUACAUUGCACUUUCACAUGUAUCCCUUUUUACAUUUUAUCUUGCCCCUUCCCCACACCCCCAAGUGCAAAGGUCUAAUUCCAAACCCAGCAUCUAACCCACAUAUCAUUUCAAAUUUUGUCUUCCCUGACAGCAGAAUGUGCAAGUCACAAGUACCAUCAACAAACAUACACGUGAAGCAAACAACAAUAAUAAACUUUUCAGAUUAUAUCAUUAAGUGCAAGAAAUCAUUACAUCUUGCAUAAAUUUCUU